rnacentral:rRNA from 1 species
GAUGAACGCUAGCGGCAGGCCUAACACAUGCAAGUCGAGGGGCAGCACGUCUUCGGAUGGUGGCGACCGGCGCACGGGUGCGUAACGCGUAUGCAACCUACCUCUUACAGUGGGAUAGCCCAGAGAAAUUUGGAUUAAUACCGCAUAGUAUACAGAUUCAGCAUUGGGACUGUAUUAAACAUUUAUGGGUAAGAGAUGGGCAUGCGUUCUAUUAGUUAGUUGGAGUGGUAACGGCACCCCAAGACAGCGAUAGAUAGGGGCCCUGAGAGGGGGAUCCCCCGANACUGGUACUGAGACACGGACCAGACUCCUACGGGAGGCAGCAGUGAGGAAUA